UGGGGAAUAUUGCACAAUGGGCGCAAGCCUGAUGCAGCCAUGCCGCGUGUAUGAAGAAGGCCUUCGGGUUGUAAAGCACUUUCAGCGGGGAGGAAGGCGUUAAGGUUAAUAACCUCACCGAUUGACGUUACCCGCAGAAGAAGCACCGGCUAACUCCGUGCCAGCAGCCGCGGUAAUACGGAGGGUGCAAGCGUUAAUCGGAAUUACUGGGCGUAAAGCGCACGCAGGCGGUCUGUCAAGUCGGAUGUGAAAUCCCCGGGCUCAACCUGGGAACUGCAUUCGAAACUGGCAGGCUAGAGUCUUGUAGAGGGGGGUAGAAUUCCAGGUGUAGCGGUGAAAUGCGUAGAUAUAUGGAGGAACACCAGUGGCGAAGGCGGCUCUCUGGUCUGUAACUGACGCUGAGGCUCGAAAGCGUGGGGAGCAAACAGG
rnacentral:rRNA from 1 species